UAAUUGCAAGAGAUCAAAACCCUUGAAUUUUUAGGGUUUUUUUUAGUGGGAGGAGAACUAGAAAGAUGGAGAUAAUUAGAAAGAGAGUUGAGCACUGGGUAGUUAUUAGGGAGGAAGAAGAAGAAGAACAAGGGUAAUUUCUCUCUCCACGUUUCUCCAUUCGUAUUUGGGAAAAACCACCCUAGCCCACGUUCUCUCCCUCCCUCUCUCUCUCUCUCUCACUCUCACAUUCCCCAUUGAUCUGCGAGUCCGCCCUCUCUCAGUUCCCUUAUCUCCCCUCAAACCCCAACCGUCGACGACUUUAAAGCAACUGCACUGUUUAGAAAAAAAAUAAAUAUAUUUUUCCUCACAAAUCAAAGAAAAGCUUUCUCUUCUGUACAAUUAUAUUAUAAACACUUGAUGAAACAAAAUCCCCAAUUUCUACAAUUAGACCUUUCUACUCUUCUUCGAUCAGAUCCAGUUUGAUUCCUUUGCUUUCUCUCUCUUUUUCCCUCUCGGUUGAUGUCUUUUCGUCUGAUUCUUUCUCUACUAUUCUUCUCCUUUCUCCUUCGGAGCCUCGAAGCUCGAUCCAUCGGCGGCGGUGGUGCCGAUGAAGUCCACGAUUUCGCCGUCGAUCUCAAUAGCUCCACUUUUGCGAGUGUUCUAAAAGAAUCUAAGGGCAAUUUUGCGAUCGUCGAGUUCUUUGCGCACUGUGGAGUUAGCUGUUAAAGUUGAUGGUAAAGGAGGAAAUGAUCAAAAGGCGAUGACUCCGUGGUCGAAGCAUUCUGCUACAGAGCAGAGGUAGGGAAGCAAAAUCAAUGAUAGGCAAGUUUUCUUUUUCCACCAAUUUUGGGGUUUAUUAAAGCAAUAUAUAUUGUUACAAUACAAACUUUUUUACUUGAAAUUUAACUGAUAAAAUGAAAUGUCUGGGCUUUUUGUCUUUUUCCGACCGGAGAUUGGCGGCGGUGUCACGUGCGGUGUGGGGGUCGAACGGUUGAGGAUGCGCGAGCGUGGAGUAGUGCUGCGUUUCUUUAUCAGUAUGAUUGCUGGUCGGCGCUUAAGUACGUUAAUGGUACUCAACAGGCAACUCAGAUGGAUCCACAACUUGGAAGUCAAUCAAGUUCAAAGAAAAAUAUUGUAUGGACAGAGCAAAUGGAUAUUUGCUUAAUUGAAACAUUGAGAGAGAACAGGUACACAAAGGGCAAAAGCCCGAUCGAAGUUUCUCAUAUCAUGCUUAUUAAGCAACAUGUGCAGAGUUAUAUGCUAAAUGUGGAAUAAAGGUUGAAGUGGAUCAUAUUAAAAACCGAUUGAAGACACUUAAAAAAGAUAUGAGGGCAUUUCAAGACAUGCAAAAUUCUUCUAGUGGAUUUGCAUUUAAUCGCGUAACGAGGAUGAUGGAUGCGGAGCCAAAAGUUUGGGAAGAUUACAUAAAUGUACGUUGAAUAAUUAGUCAUUUAUUGGUUUUGCCUAAAUUGUUUAGACUUUGCCCUUGGUACUAGCUGACUGAUCCAUAAUGCUUACUUCUCCUUGUAUUUUGUUCAAUUGUUGCUCAUUUAUGUGCAAAUAUAUAGUAGAACUUGAUCUGGAAUUAGUCAGGUUGCAAUUUUUUGGACAUUAUUGAAGCUUGAAUAGAAAUUAUAUU